AGUGUGUUGUUUCGUGGCUUAAAAUGACUGUAGUUUUUGGGUUGUAAGUUCAUUUGGUUUCACUUAUUGACUGAAUAUGGCUGAAAAUGAUUGUACCUCUGCAAUCUUUCCUACUAAAACUAAUCACGCCUUUCUUUUUGUCUAAUUUUUUCCUCUGUCAGUAUUACACUUAUUAGAUAGUUUGUAUAGUUUUACGUUGACUGAUAGGAUUCUUCUGCAUGCUAUUUAGAUUGCCAACUCUGUUCAGCGGUUUAGUUGCGGUAUUCCUCUGUCAACAACUUUUUCCCAAAUUUUGGCUGGUCUUUUGAUUCACAAAGAUCGUAUUCUAUCUCAUCUCUCAAUCAUGUGAUUAUUGCAAAAAAGACAUUUUUGCAGAUUUGAUCUAUUUUCCAGUUAUGAUGACAGAUAGGCUUCUUAGCAAUUUAGGUCUUUACGUUUUAGGGAAAUCUGGAAUCAGAAAGGGAACAUACAUAUUUAUCACUCCUUAUUUUGUCUUGCAAUCUGAGCUCUUACUAUUGGAAGGAAAUAGGAGCAGCAAAAAAUCCCACCUUGCUCUUCGCUGCUUUUUCUCUGAUGCCUUCUUGGAUGUUCAAACAAGUCAAGUAUGUGAAAUCUCAUAGACUAAUGACUAUCAAGCGUUUGAUGAAAUGUCUAUAUGAAACUUGGGAUAAUUAGUAGAGAAAACGUGGAGAGAAAGAUUACACAGGAACACUUUCAACUCGGAAGUGAGCGCAACAAGUAGAGCUGCUACAGUUCCUGACGAUGUUUUCCACAGAGUGCAAGACAUCCAGUUGUGCAAUACCCAAGCCUACCAAUGCACUCCUGCUUUUUUUGCCGAUUCAUUCUUCCUCAACAAGUUUUCCUCUGAAGUAACUGCAGAAAGGGCUUCGGUCCCUCAUACUGCAAGGGUUAUAGUGAGAGACAUAUCAUCUCUAUUGUCCCAGUCACUCGUGUGACUAUGGCCCAUCAUAAUUGCUCUUUCAGUUUCUAUAUUAUCAGAAACGG